rnacentral:rRNA from 1 species
CCCAGCCGCCACGACCAAAUCAACGUGCCCGACCUUCGGAUGUCGGAAAGCUAAGCAGGUUUGAUUGAGCCUGCUUAGUACUUUGAUUGGAGACUGCCUGGGAAUACGAAGUGCUGCGGGCU